CCCGUGGGCGGGGCGGCCGCCUUCCGCGCACCUGUGCGAGCGCCCGCGGGUUCCCGAGCAUCUUCCCGCGCGGCCAGGCCCGGCCCGACGAGUGCCCCCUGCGCCCCCGGCCUGCCUUGGCGGCAGCGGGCCCGACACUCACCGCGUCCGUGGAGGCCGCGCCUGGAGCCCCGCCGCUCCGAGCAGCGCGCCGAGGCGGGGACGCGGGGACGUGGGCGGGAGGGCGGCCGCAGCCCCCGGCAGGGCGCGCAGGCUCCGGACUGGAGCGCGCCGGCGCGGCCCCGAGUCCAGACUCCAGAACAAAAAGGAAAACAUUCAGAACACCCAAGUAGAGGAAGCGCUGAAACUUGUUCUUGUAUCUGGAGACGGGGCCCCCACCAGCUCCAGGUCCCUGCAGCGGGAUCGGGACGCAGGACGACGAGGGACCGCCCGAACCUCGAGCCACGAUAAGGAGCAAGAUCCCCAAAGACCUGACAGCGGAGAGGGACGAAGUGCCCUCCGACCUGGGCUGCUUUCUGUUCCUGCGCACAGCUGCUUCCUGCCGGGUCAGCUCCAGUUAAGACUGGACCCCUGAUGCUCAGGGAGAGCCUGCUCGUGCACGGUAGACUUGAAGCGUGCAAACAUAUCACCACGCAAAACUGUGCCCAAAAAAUAGAACCGAAGCUCAUGGAAUCAUCCUGAGCGUGAUGGUUUACAGGCCCCUGAACGCAGAGUCUGGGGACCCGGGUUCCAGGUUCGGGGGACUCUGAACCACAUUUGGAAGCUGCCUGGAGCAGUGGAGAGAGCAAACCUUUGGAAUUCGGCCGGCUGGAUUUCCAACAACAAUUUCACCACUCCAAGUCCUGUGCAUUUUGGACAAGACACUGUGCCCACUGUCCUUCUGUGUAAAGAGGUGGUAUGGCUGCCCUCCCCACGGGACAGACCGAGACGAUGGGCACAAUGCAUUUCGUGCCUCGGGUGUUAAUCUUGGGGGAGCACCACUCACACUUGUCGCUUCUGUCACUGCCCCCCUGGGUGACCUCCAGCAAAUAUUUUUACCUCCCCAGUUGUGUCCCCCAUAGAGUUUGCACCGUGCGCACAAGAGGGAUGGCUGGUUAGUCGCAGCUGCUUGUUCCGAGCCCCGUUAGGACCCUGGAUGGUGUUUUCCUCCGUGUGCUAGUGCCAGAUAACAGAUCAUUUCCCCAAAGUGUUAACGGCUCAUAAGAGUUCAUGCACCACCCCACUCAGCCUUCCAAAAGGAAAAAAAAAAAAAAAGCAAUUAAAUUCCAGUAGCUGUCAGGAAUUGAUCCAACUGCUACAAAGCACUUUGAGUCUCUUGGCUUGAAAAAUUAAUUAGAAUAUCUGUGUGUUGUCGUGGAAACCGCAUUCCCUGGUUCAUUCUAUCCAUUUUGUACAAAAGGAAAUCCCUCGUCCCCCCAGUGCCCCCCUAUAUUCACCCAAGCCCAGCCUGCCUACUCUCUUCAGCUCUGAUGAACUCUGGGUGCGUCUGCAUCCUUUCGUAAGCUACUCCUGAAAUAUUGGAAGCUCUUUUUCUCAUGUCUGAGUGUUUCCAAGUAUCUUAUAAGCCGGUGCCUGAGAACCCUGUGCUCAGAAUAGAGGAUGCUGCCCAGCUCUCUGGAACAUCACGGACUCCGGACUGCCAACGGUGGACAUAGAUGGGACCGUGCAGCGGUCGUGUCAGCGCAAACAUUUCAUAUCAUACACAGUCCCUGGUCCAAGCUAAUGCCUUAGUUACCCUGAUUGGAACAGGACAACAGAGGCCUGUCUCUUUAGCCUCAUGCAACGGCCAGCACUGUGAUGGGGCGAAGUCAUCCUCAGUCACUGCCGAAUCAGUGAUCCAGUGAUGCCUCUUUGGGCUGAGCGCCACUCUCUAUUGCGCUGCACCGCGGUCUGCGUGGACUACGUCAGGUGGUCCUGCACGCACUUUUCCUCAGCAGACUGCAAGCUACCAGGAGGCGACAAAUUCUCGUCAAUGAGUCAAUAUUACCAUCAUUAAAUGGCCAAUAAGUUUAUUAGUAUCGAUCCUAGUAAGUCUUCUUUUGGAAAAGUAACAAAAAUUUGAUAGUUAUUUUAAAGUAUUUUCAAGGUAUGCAUUUAUAAAGUUAGAACAAGUUAUCUGCAAUUAAAUAUGACUUCACAGAAGUCUCUAUAUAGUGUAUCUAUAGGUAAGUGUAGGCAGAGUUCUGCAAAGUACUAGGUGUAGACACACACACACGCACACGCAGGACCCCAGGAGGAGGGGCCUCCUCCCAUUUGACAGCUGAGGAGAUUUAACUCUCAAAGGGUGUAAUGUAACUCUUCCAUUCUGUGUGAGGUGGCGCAGGAAUUCCAGCCCAACCCCGAAGCCCUUGCUUAUAUUCACAGUGAAACACUGUCCUUCCAAAUGAAUGAAUGACUCCACGCUUCAGAGAGCAAAUCCAGAAGGCUUAUGAGCACGAGAACCAUCCUCCUUGUACCAGGAGUCCGUGCGUUAAAAAUAAAAUUGGUAUCCC